GACGAACGCUGGCGGCGUGCUUAAUACAUGCAAGUCAACUUGACUUUAGAUAGCAAUAUCGAAAAGUAGGGUGGCGCACGGGUGCGUAACGCGUAGGUAAUCUGCCCUGAGGUCUGACAUAACCCGUCGAAAGGCGGGCUAACAUCAGAUGAUAUAUAAUCACGACAUCGUGGAAAUAUCAAAUCUUUGGAGCCUUGGGAUGAGCCUGCGUCUGAUUAGGUAGUUGGCGGAGUAAUAGCCCACCAAGCCUACGAUCAGUAGCUGGUCUGAGAGGAUGAUCAGCCACACUGGAACUGAGACACGGUCCAGACUCCUACGGGAGGCAGCAGUAAGGAAUAUUGCUCAAUGGGGGAAACCCUGAAGCAGCAAACGCCGCGUGAAGGAUGAAAUACUUUGUAUGUAAACUUCUGUAAGAUAGGGAAAAUAUUCUACCUCGGGAGAAUUGAUUGUACCUGUAAGAAAGCCCCGGACUAACUACGUAGCCAGCAGCCGAC
rnacentral:rRNA from 1 species